rnacentral:rRNA from 1 species
AGAGUUUGAUCCUGGCUCAGGAUGAACGCUGGCGGCGUGCUUAACACAUGCAAGUCGAACGGUGAAGCCAAGCUUGCUUGGUGGAUCAGUGGCGAACGGGUGAGUAACACGUGAGCAACCUGCCCUGGACUCUGGGAUAAGCGCUGGAAACGGUGUCUAAUACUGGAUAUGAGACGUGAUCGCAUGGUCGUGUUUGGAAAGAUUUUUCGGUCUGGGAUGGGCUCGCGGCCUAUCAGCUUGUUGGUGAGGUAAUGGCUCACCAAGGCGUCGACGGGUAGCCGGCCUGAGAGGGUGACCGGCCACACUGGGACUGAGACACGGCCCAGACUCCUACGGGAGGCAGCAGUGGGGAAUAUUGCACAAUGGGCGCAAGCCUGAUGCAGCAACGCCGCGUGAGGGAUGACGGCCUUCGGGUUGUAAACCUCUUUUAGCAGGGAAGAAGCGUAAGUGACGGUACCUGCAGAAAAAGCGCCGGCUAACUACGUG